GGUGAACGCUGGCGGCGUGCUUAACACAUGCAAGUCGAACGAGAACGGAUUAUAGCUUGCUAUAAUUGUCAGCUAAGUGGCGCACGGGUGAGUAAUGUAUAGGUAAUAUGCCUCUUACUAAGGGAUAACAAAUGGAAACGUUUGCUAAUACCUUAUACUCCUUAUUAACAGAAGUUAAUAAGGGAAAGAUUUAUUGGUAAGAGAUUAGACUGUAUUGUAUCAGUUAGUUGGUGGGGUAAUGGCUUACCAAGACUAUGACACAUAACUGGUUUGAGAGGAUGAUAAGUCACACUGGAACUAAGACACGGUCCAGACUCCUACAGGAGGCAGCAGUGGGGAAUAUUGCACAAUGGCCGAAGGUCUGAUGCAGCAACGCCGCGUGGAGGAUGACACAUUUCGGUGCGUAAACUCCUUUUAUAUGAGAAGAUAAUGACGGUAUUAUAUGAAUAAGCACCGGCUAACUCCGUGCCAGCCGCCGCCGUAA
rnacentral:rRNA from 1 species